AAGUUUACAAGGUGUAGGUCAUCCAUUUUUCUCAUUGUUUUCACAUUGUCAUUUUCUGAAUACUGAUGGGUGUCGAGUCGCUGGCGUUGAUUGAAGGUGAUAGAAUGCAACUGUAUAGUCACUUUUUGUGAACAUAGAGUAAACUACACUUCCUGCUUCUCAGCGGUGCCUUUGACAUACUUAUUUUAAUUUUUUCCAUAUACCCAUUUUCCCUCAAAAAUGAAAUGAAAUUGGUUUGUUUUGAUUUAGAAUGACUUUCAGAUUUAGCACCUUUAUGCCUCCUUCUGAGCUUACAUUAGAAGAACCCUCUCAUUGACUAAAAACGGAGGUUGAUGAAAAUGUAAAGGAAAGUUUACAAAUUGUUUUGGAAAAUGUGGACCACAACUGGAACUUAGUGUAUGAAGAUGGAGAUUUGAAGGUAUACUGACGAGAUUAUGAAGAAGGAGGUAUUGUUCUGGUUCCCAUGAAGGCUACCCAUGUUGUACAGGGUGUCACAGCCAGGGAGAUGGCUCAUUACUUUUUUGACAAAGAUGUCCGCAUGGAUUGGGAGAGUAAGUUUGAUU